rnacentral:rRNA from 1 species
GAUGAACGCUGGCGGCGUGCCUAAUACAUGCAAGUCGAGCGAACGGACGAGAAGCUUGCUUCUCUGAUGUUAGCGGCGGACGGGUGAGUAACACGUGGAUAACCUACCUAUAAGACUGGGAUAACUUCGGGAAACCGGAGCUAAUACCGGAUGAUAUUUUGAACCGCAUGGUUCAAAAGUGAAAGACGGUCUUGCUGUCACUUAUGGAUGGAUCCGCGCUGCAUUAGCUAGUUGGUAAGGUAACGGCUUACCAAGGCAACGAUGCAUAGCCGACCUGAGAGGGUGAUCGGCCACACUGGAGCUGAGACACGGUCCAGACUCCUACGGGAGGCAGCAGUAGGGAAUCUUCCGCAAAGGGCGAAAGCCUGACGGAGCAACGCCGCGUGAGUGAUGAAGGUCUUCGGAUCGUAAAACUCUGUUAUUAGGGAAGAACAUAUGUGUAAGUAACUGUGCACAUCUUGACGGUACCUAAUCAGAAAGCCACGGCUAACUACGUG